rnacentral:rRNA from 1 species
UACGAAGGGGGCUAGCGUUGUUCGGAAUUACUGGGCGUAAAGCGCGCGCAGGCGGUUCUUCAAGUCAGAGGUGAAAGCCCAGAGCUCAACUCUGGAAUGGCCUUUGAGACUAGAGAACUAGGGUACGGGAGAGGUGAGUGGAAUUCCGAGUGUAGAGGUAAAAUUCGUAGAUAUUCGGAAGAACACCAGUGGCGAAGGCGGCUCACUGGCCCGUUACCGACGCUCAGGCGCGACAGCGUGGGGAGCAAACAGG